GUUUUUUUAAAAAAUAUAAUUAGGGUCUAUUUUAAUAACCUAUUAUUGCACAACAUUAUUCUAGUAUAUUAAGUAUAAUAUAACAGUAAAAUAUUUGGUUAAAAAAUGGUAAUAUAUUGGGCCAAAACAGUUUCUGCUAUUUUAAAUUGCAGCCUACAGUUAAUAAAGAUCAGUGUCUAGAUUAAGCUAAGGAACCAUUAUUUAAUUUAAUCAAAAAUAGAAAGUCAAAUCCUGUAAGAUGUUAGUGAAAAAAAAGAGGUUUAGCAGGACUACAUCUACAAUGUUCACACAUUCAAUAAUACAUUGAGGGAAAUGGUGUGAUAAUAUUAGCAUUUAGAUUUCUUUUACAGCAAGAAAAUCACAUGACCAUUUAUUUACAGCAGUCUUUAUUAAUUCAAUCCUUUAAACAUAUUCUCAAAAA